GACGAACGCUGGCGGCGUGCUUAACACAUGCAAGUCGAACGGAAAGGCCCUGCUUUUGUGGGGUGCUCGAGUGGCGAACGGGUGAGUAACACGUGAGUAACCUGCCCUUGACUUUGGGAUAACUUCAGGAAACUGGGGCUAAUACCGGAUAGGAGCUCCUGCUGCAUGGUGGGGGUUGGAAAGUUUCGGCGGUUGGGGAUGGACUCGCGGCUUAUCAGCUUGUUGGUGGGGUAGUGGCUUACCAAGGCUUUGACGGGUAGCCGGCCUGAGAGGGUGACCGGGCACAUUAGGACUGAGAUACGGCCCAGACUCCUACGGGAGGCAGCAGUGGGGAAUAUUGCACAAUGGGCGGAAGCCUGAUGCAGCAACGCCGCGUGCGGGAUGACGGCCUUCGGGUUGUGAACCGCUUUCGCCUGUGACGAAGCGUGAGUGACGGUAAUGGGUAAAGAAGCACCGGCUAACUACGUG
rnacentral:rRNA from 1 species